CGUCUAGUACAAAAGAAAAAAACGAAACAGUUUAAACAAAAAAAACCAGGAAUUAAUUUAUAAAAUGGAUCUUGUAACGCGCACAGCUGGAGAUUCUGAUAGGAUCUUGGUGAUUCCAAAAGCAGGACGGAGUCUAUCGUUGGAGACAUUGUCGACUUUGGUGCCCCAGUCCAGUUUAAAAUAACGAUCGUAUUUUCCAAGGAUUUUAAAAGGACCCAAGAAGAUAGGAGAAAGAGAUUCUCUGAUUGGCUUAUUUUUAAGAAAAACGUAUUGAGCCUUGCGUUUCUCUCUCUCUGAGUUACUCGUGGGGGAACGUGAGCUACCUUCUCCAUCGUGACGAAGAAACGCCCCACAUCGACGCCUGCCUGAGGAAUAGGAAACGAAUCGAAGAAGCCUGAAGCCAAAGAUCCAGAGCGACCAUAUCCGUGCAACUAGCCCUGUUUUUAGGGAUCUGUGGAACCGUUGAAUAAGCCCGUUUGAUUCAGGAUCACAUGAUACACACCCAAAUAGCACUUGUGAAUUGCGGGCCCCUGUCUGACACAUUGAUGUCAGGUCCUCCAAAUCUUGAUAUCCAACCGUCCAAGAAAGUUCCAGCCACUGUACUAGAGGUGAUAUUAGGAAUUGGGAUCACUUCCGACCACCUCGUAUACCGAUCCAUCAUAGUUAGGACAUAGCGCUGUCCUUUAAAGAGUAUCGACGGGCCAAUUAUAUCAAUGUGGACGAAGGCAAGUCUCCCUGAUGGUGGAUCGAAAGAGGAAGUGGGCUUGGAGGUUCUACAAGGCUUCGUUGGUUGACAUGCGAUGCAUUCUUUAGUAAAUCUUUUAAUAUCAGAACGUAAUUUAGGCCAAGCUUAGAAAAGUGAUACUCUUCUUAAAGUGUAUUUGAAUCCCAGAUGAUUAUCUUUGUAGCUUGAAUGAAUCAUUCGUCGGCGAAGUUCUGGAGAGGACACUACGACACGAAAGAAGUCUUCGUUCCCGAAGCCUGCAAGAUCAUGGAAUCUUUGAUCUUCAAUGACAUCCUGAAGAAAAUUGGGACUUAAUUUGAUGUUGUUGACAUUUCUCGAAAGAAUAUUCGCGGUGUGGUUUCAUUUUCCUGAAAUAUGCUCAAUCCUGCAAUUCAACUCUGCUACAUAUGCAAAUGUACGGAAUCGUCUUGGAGUCCACGAGGGGUUGCGGAUGUCUAUCGCCGACACUAAAGGGUUAUGAUCUGUGAAUACUCUAAAAUUUUGUUCAUCUCAUACCCGCAGAAAAUGUUUGAUGCUUUCCUUAAUAGCAAGUAAUUCCCUAUCAAAAGUUGAAUAUUUCUUUUGCGUUUCAGAUAAGGCUUUCGAACAAAAUGCUAGUGGUUGACAGCGCCCAUUCCAUUUCUGUUCCAGAACGGCUCCCAUACCAGUAUCAGACGCAUCUGUUGUAAGAGCUAAAGAUUUUGGAGAUCAAAUUCUUGCAAUAGCUUCAACUUUCGAUUUAAGAGGUUUAAAACCCUCUGGUGAAAUAUAAUGGCCAAGGAACUCAACUCGCAUUUUUCAAGAAAAAGUACCAAGCCAGAAGUUUUUAAGCUGCAACAAAACUGCAUUUAUGGACUGCCAAUGUUCAUCCCUUGUCCCAGAACCAAUCAAUAUAUCAUCAAGAUACACUAAGACAUUUUUAAUUCCCCUCAAAACAGAAUCGAUGAGUCGUUGGAAUGUCUAGGCAGCGUUUUUAAGCCCAUACGUCAUUCUCAAGUACUCAUACAACCCAAAUAUCAUAAUGAUAGCUGGUUUACUGAUGGAGUCUUCCCUCAUGGGUUGGGCACGAAAUCCCUUAAAUUUGGAUGAGGAUAUCGAUUUAGAUCCAUAAUGUUAUUUAAUUGAAGAUAAUCACCACACAUUUGCCAGCCUCCUUUGGCUUUAGGUACUACAUGAAUCGCUGAUGUAAAAUUUCAAGAAGAUGGACGAAUUAUUCCCUUCUCUAUAAGUCAAUUUCGUUUUUAACAAAAUUGAGUUUAACACCAUCCAGCUUGGAAGAUUUUGCAAAGCAGGGAGGACCCUUAGUUUCGAUGUGAUGUUCAACUCCAUGAGGUGGAUGUUGAGGACAUCGAAAAAGCUUAAUCAAAGGAGCGACAGUAGGAGAAGAACAUCGACAAUAGAAAUGGAAGUGUUCGUGACUUUCUUCGCAGCCGUACACAUAUCUGCUAAAUUCUUAGUCAUAAGUGUUGAUUGUGCUCUGAAAUAUCCCUGUUGUUCCUUUGGAGCAUUCCUUAUUAGUGCCUCUUUAAUCAAACUUUCACUUAAAUCCUUUAGGUAUUCCGCAUUCAGAAGACGUUCAACCUCAUCUUUUACCUCCAUGCUCGAGAGCUCGGAAGUAUCAACCAUCAUGUCGACUGCUCUUUUUAUCCUUGCGGAAGAUGAUAGCCCAUACCGGACUAAUAUGGAUUUCUUCGCUCCCUCAUAAGUGAGAUUCUCCUAUAAUAUUGAAAACCUCACCCGGCAAUGCUGACGCCAUAAGAAUAUAUUUAACUUUGGUAUGACAAAUCCCCCUCAACGCAAAAUCCAGUUCAAUUCUCCGGAACCAGUUCUUAACAUCCGAAGAACAGAACCUAGGAAGGCAGAGUUCUGCAACGGCCAUUGCUAAAUUCGCCUCUUCCGUUUUAAUCGACCAUGCUUGUUUUUGGGGAGACACAGGUGGUGAAGUUUGCUUUCGGGGCAUUUUUCAAAUCACGUCGGGGUCACCAAUAUAAAGUAUUUUAAGUUCAAUUAUCUACUGAUUAUAUUCUAGAUAAAUCAUUAUAAUAAAAAGUAGAAAAAGAAGAAGUGAUCAACUUGAUCAAAUCAAACUUCAACAUACACAUACCACUCUGUCCUUUAUAAUUGUGAAGUAAUAAUUUUAAAAUCUCGACUUAAUUUAGUGUAAGGCAACACAAAUUAAGUGAAUAAAUUAAAUAUAUAUUUUUAAAAUUUAUUUAUAAUGUACCAUUUGCUAAACAUAGGAGCAUGCCAAAAAGGAUAAUAAGCAAAAAUAAAUUAUUAAUAUUUAUAAAAGUAAA
rnacentral:lncRNA from 1 species